rnacentral:rRNA from 1 species
UUUUAUGGAGAGUUUGAUCCUGGCUCAGGAUGAACGCUGGCGGCGUGCCUAAUACAUGCAAGUCGAGCGAACGGACGAGAAGCUUGCUUCUCUGAUGUUAGCGGCGGACGGGUGAGUAACACGUGGAUAACCUACCUAUAAGACUGGGAUAACUUCGGGAAACCGGAGCUAAUACCGGAUGCUAUUUUGAAACGAAUGGUUCAAAAGUGAAAGAAGGGCUUGCUGUGACUUAUAUAUGGAUCCGCGCUGC